GCUUUUGCUCAGAAGGUAGAGCAUGUGACAAACCUGCAACCGGGAGGUUCCCUGGUUCUCUGUUCUUCAGCACGUUCCUGGCUGAAGUCCCCUGAGCAAGGCAUCUCUAUGCAUCUCUAGCCUUGGAGGGGAGACCUUGCGUAGGCAGUGUUGAAGUUUGAGUGUGCGGAGGAAUGUGAGGGGUUUUAAGAAGUGGUUAAGGAGCGGUCGCACCCACCACUGCAAAAUAGUCCAACUUGGUGAUACCUGCCUACUCUCUUCAAAACCUUUUUAGUUAGCCCUAAAAUGGCAUAAAAUGCUGUGAUAAGGCUCUAUCAAUAGUAAAACAUCCUUUAGAAGUUGAGUUGUUUUCUAAAUGGCAGCCUGGGGAACAAAAUAACAGACGUUAGUGUGUCUUCUGUGGGCCAUGUACCUUCAGGCGAUCUCCACUGGUGUGUCUUGCGCUGUAUGUGUUCCCAGCUUUAUCUGUAACCGUUUGUCCUAUAAAGGCCUUGGAAACACAUGAAUCAAACGUCACAUGAUGGUAACCGGCGAAGAGAAGAGCAACCCUAGGCCUUCGCUGUAGGCCACAGCGACACGCAAAACGACAUUUUACCCUUUAAAGCACAAGAUAGCUUGUUGUACAUCUUCAGUGUCCUACAGACCGUGACCGACGUAUGGAUCGAAGAACGAUUAAUUGAUAGUACUUUAUUUGCCAUUUAAUCACUUAGCAGAUCCUUUUAUACCAAGCGACUAGCAGUCAAUUGUUUUUCAGAGGCAUGUCUUUAAUAAGUGAAGAGGUAAAGGUUGAAUCCUACCUCUGCUUGCCUACACCGUUGCUUGCAUCGAUGGUUCUGCCAGCCGACGUGUACAUGCAUAUCUGGAGCUUGGCUUCCCUCGAAUUUAACAUAAGAUAGUUCCUUCAAAUUAGGGCUGUACGGUAUGGACUAAAAUGUGCAGUAUAUCAAGGUAUGAUUUGAGGCAUAGGCGGUAUCGGUAUUGUAUCACAGUACCUAUGUUAAUUGUUUCUUCAAAUUACGAUAUUAUUGCUUCUGAAGGGGUAAAAUACUGGUAAGGGAGCAAAACUGCAUUAAAAAAAAUAUUCAAGUUACAUCUCUGAAAAACACAGAUGUUUAAAGGAACACUCCACCCAUUUGCAUUAAGCUUUGUAUUGUUAGUUACCCAGUCAUAUUUUUGAAUGGUCAUGCAACACUAUCUCAUUUUCCCCCGAGACGGGAGAAAUACGUAUUUACCUCUUACACUUCUUUCUGGCAAUGAAGCAAAAUUUUUCAUUGCCAGAAGGAAAUACAAGAGGGGGGAUUUCUAUUGAGACUACAAGCACUAGUCCCACCCUUUCAAACCCGCCCAUAGGGGGUGGGACCUAAUGCGCUAACAGACCUAUCACAGAUCAGUGCCAGUGAGUUAGACUUCACCUGCGGAAAACAUGGCCGACGAUACUGAAUACGCAGACACACAAAAUGGAGGAUUGGGAUUUUGAAGAAGUUAUGGUAGAAACGGAUGUUUGUGGCUACCUUUAUGAGCCACAAUAUAGUGACGAGCAGCUGAGGGCUAUGGAGGAACAGGAGGCGGCUGACGCUGCCGCCGCUAUAACCGAGGCAGACGACCUGCCUGCCGCAGACGAGGAGCCUGCAAUGGCUCGAUGGGGGCGGAUUGGCGGUGCCUGUGCUCUCACUGUGCGCCAAUGGACACAGAACAAGAGUCUGUCUGCUGCCGAGAAUUCCAGCGGUGCCAAUUUCUUUCGGAAGAAAUCAUCGAAUCGGAGGAUGACAAGGACGUGUGUGUUGUCAAUCACCGGAGUUUCGCACCCCAGGCUUUAUGCCUCAUCUGAACAGUUGGGUAUUGGAUACAUAUUUCCGGACCCAGAAAGUGUACUGGAAACGCCAGCCAAAGCCCGCCGGGAGCAACAGACGUCUGAGCAUAGAACAGUAUCGGCUUCCUGUGUUGUCCAGGCCAUCAGAGCUAAUUACCCAGCACAAUAUGGGCAGUACCGUGGCUACCAGGAGACAGUAGAUGCUUAAGAUGAGCUGUGACUAUUUUGACUCUAGCAAACGCACACUACACGUUUUAUUUUUGUAAAUAGUUCAUAUUUUUUCAUGAAUAAAACUUCAAAUUC